rnacentral:rRNA from 1 species
GACGAACGCUGGCGGCGUGCUUAACACAUGCAAGUCGAACGAUGACCAGGAGCUUGCUCCUGUGAUUAGUGGCGAACGGGUGAGUAACACGUGAGUAACCUGCCCCCGACUCUGGGAUAAGCGUUGGAAACGACGUCUAAUACUGGAUAUGAUCACUGGCCGCAUGGUCUGGUGGUGGAAAGAUUUUUUGGUUGGGGAUGGACUCGCGGCCUAUCAGCUUGUUGGUGAGGUAAUGGCUCACCAAGGCGACGACGGGUAGCCGGCCUGAGAGGGUGACCGGCCACAAUGGGACUAAGACACGGCCCAGACUCCUACGGGAGGCAGCGGUGGGGAAUAUUGCACAAUGGGCGAGAGCCUGAUGCAGCAGCGCCGCGUGAGGGAUGACGGCCUUCGGGGUGUAAACCUCUUUUAGUAAAGAAGAAGCGAAAGUGACGGUACCUGCAGAAAAAGCACCGGCUAACUACGUG